rnacentral:rRNA from 1 species
AUUGAACGCUGGCGGCAGGCCUAACACAUGCAAGUCGAGCGGAUGAAGGGAGCUUGCUCCUGGAUUCAGCGGCGGACGGGUGAGUAAUGCCUAGGAAUCUGCCUGGUAGUGGGGGAUAACGUCCGGAAACGGGCGCUAAUACCGCAUACAUCCUGAGGGAGAAAGUGGGGGAUCUUCGGACCUCACGCUAUCAGAUGAGCCUAGGUCGGAUUAGCUAGUUGGUGGGGUAAAGGCCUACCAAGGCGACGAUCCGUAACUGGUCUGAGAGGAUGAUCAGUCACACUGGAACUGAGACACGGUCCAGACUCCUACGGGAGGCAGCAGUGGGGAAUAUUGGACAAUGGGCGAAAGCCUGAUCCAGCCAUGCCGCGUGUGUGAAGAAGGUCUUCGGAUUGUAAAGCACUUUAAGUUGGGAGGAAGGGCGGUAAGUUAAUACCUUGCUGUUUUGACGUUACCAACAGAAUAAGCACCGGCUAACUUCGUG